UUUUUUUUUAGGUAAAUGAAAUAGGUGUGAACUUGACCCGGUUAAAGCGUUCUGCCCCCACUACAUACUAAUUAGAAUCACCUGGAGGGCUCUGAAAACUUGCUGACACCUGGGGUUCUGGUUGCAGUCUGGACCCUGGGAGUUUUAAAAAGCUCCCCAGGUGAUUCUGAUGUACCUAUAAGGUCGUGACCCCUGCUGGUGCUUGAGUCCGGGGCACAGUUAAAACUGAAAUACUUACUCCCUUGAUUGCCCCCAAAGCGCUACAAAUGAUGAUGGACUGCAUCAUUUGUGUUUUGGCUUGAUUGGAAGGAGGGAGACCUCUUCUUUUUAGGGUUCUUCUCCAGGGUUAUGAAUCCUGGUGAUGCCUCAUAAGAAGUGGUUAAACUCUCUUUCCAAGAAGAUGCUGAGAUUUCCUACAGAUAGAGAUUUCCCUCCCUUCCUAAUUACCCCGUGAGCACCUCACUGAAGAUAAUGAACGCACAGAGCUAGCUCAGCAGAAGCAGCUGCUGCAGACAAGAAAGGCCUAGACGGCUGGUACGUCCGGCCCUCCUCCCUCUUGCCUGCUCCUCGGCCCCGCCACAGUGAUUAAGAAUUCAUGAUUGUGGAGCGCCUGGGUGGCUCAGUGGGUUAAGCCUCUGC